UGCAAGUCGAACGAUGAUCAGGAGCUUGCUCCUGUGAUUAGUGGCGAACGGGUGAGUAACACGUGAGUAACCUGCCCCUGACUCUGGGAUAAGCGUUGGAAACGACGUCUAAUACUGGAUACGACUGCCGGCCGCAUGGUCUGGUGGUGGAAAGAUUUUUUGGUUGGGGAUGGACUCGCGGCCUAUCAGCUUGUUGGUGAGGUAAUGGCUCACCAAGGCGACGACGGGUAGCCGGCCUGAGAGGGUGACCGGCCACACUGGGACUGAGACACGGCCCAGACUCCUACGGGAGGCAGCAGUGGGGAAUAUUGCACAAUGGGCGAAAGCCUGAUGCAGCAACGCCGCGUGAGGGAUGACGGCCUUCGGGUUGUAAACCUCUUUUAGUAGGGAAGAAGCGAAAGUGACGGUACCUGCAGAAAAAGCACCGGCUAACUACGUGCCAGCAGCCGCGGUAAUACGUAGGGUGCAAGCGUUGUCCGGAAUUAUUGGGCGUAAAGAGCUCGUAGGCGGUUUGUCGCGUCUGCUGUGAAAUCCCGAGGCUCAACCUCGGGCUUGCAGUGGGUACGGGCAGACUAGAGUGCGGUAGGGGAGAUUGGAAUUCCUGGUGUAGCGGUGGAAUGCGCAGAUAUCAGGAGGAACACCGAUGGCGAAGGCAGAUCUCUGGGCCGUAACUGACGCUGAGGAGCGAAAGCGUGGGGAGCGAACAGGAUUAGAUACCCUGGUAGUCCACGCCGUAAACGUUGGGCGCUAGAUGUAGGGACCUUUCCACGGUUUCUGUGUCGUAGCUAACGCAUUAAGCGCCCCGCCUGGGGAGUACGGCCGCAAGGCUAAAACUCAAAGGAAUUGACGGGGGCCC
rnacentral:rRNA from 1 species